UACGUAGGUGGCAAGCGUUGUCCGGAUUUACUGGGUGUAAAGGGCGCGUAGGCGGGAAUACAAGUCAGAUGUGAAAUCUGGGGGCUUAACCCUCAAACUGCAUUUGAAACUGUAUUUCUUGAGUAUCGGAGAGGCAGGCGGAAUUCCAAGUGUAGCGGUGAAAUGCGUAGAUAUUUGGAGGAACACCAGUGGCGAAGGCGGCCUGCUGGACGACAACUGACGCUGAGGCGCGAAAGCGUGGGGAGCAAACAGG
rnacentral:rRNA from 1 species